rnacentral:rRNA from 2 species
CGGUAGAGAGAAGCUUGCUUCUCUUGAGAGCGGCGGACGGGUGAGUAAUGCCUAGGAAUCUGCCUAGUGGUGGGGGAUAACGUUCGGAAACGGACGCUAAUACCGCAUACGUCCUACGGGAGAAAGCGGGGGACCUUCGGGCCUCGCGCCAUUAGAUGAGCCUAGGUCGGAUUAGCUAGUUGGUGAGGUAAUGGCUCACCAAGGCGACGAUCCGUAACUGGUCUGAGAGGAUGAUCAGUCACACUGGAACUGAGACACGGUCCAGACUCCUACGGGAGGCAGCAGUGGGGAAUAUUGGACAAUGGGCGAAAGCCUGAUCCAGCCAUGCCGCGUGUGUGAAGAAGGUCUUCGGAUUGUAAAGCACUUUAAGUUGGGAGGAAGGGUAGUAACUUAAUACGUUGCUACUUUGACGUUACCGACAGAAUAAGCACCGGCUAACUUCGUGCCAGCAGCC